rnacentral:lncRNA from 1 species
CUAUUUCUCCACAUACUCUCAAGCAUCUGUUGUUUCCUGACUUUUUAAUGAUCGCCAUUCUAACUGGUGUUAUUUAUACUUAGUAGUAUAAUAGCAAAAUAUUUAAAUUACAAAAUUAUGGAGACAAUUUUACUAUCAUAGAAAAACUGUGGGCCAAGAAACAAGAAUCUGAUUGGCUUCACUGUAACAGCAUACUCAAUCACACAAGG